rnacentral:rRNA from 1 species
UACCAGCACCCCGAGUGGUCGGGACGUUUAUUGGGCCUAAAGCAUCCGUAGCCGGUUCUACAAGUCUUCCGUUAAAUCCACCUGCUUAACAGAUGGGCUGCGGAAGAUACUAUAGAGCUAGGAGGCGGGAGAGGCAAGCGGUACUCGAUGGGUAGGGGUAAAAUCCGUUGAUCCAUUGAAGACCACCAGUGGCGAAGGCGGCUUGCCAGAUCGCGCUCGACGGUGAGGGAUGAAAGCUGGGGGAGCAAACCGG